GAUGAAGAACGUAGCGAAAUGCGAUAAGUAAUGUGAAUUGCAGAAUUCAGUGAAUCAUCGAAUCUUUGAACGCACAUUGCGCCCGCCAGUAUUCUGGCGGGCAUGCCUGUUCGAGCGUCAUUUCAACCAUCAAGCUCCCGGCUUGUGUUGGGGACCUGCGGCUGCCGCAGGCCCUGAAAACCAGUGGCGGGCUCGCUAGUCACUCCGAGCGUAGUAAUACAUCUCGCUCAGGGCGUGCUGCGGGUUCCGGCCGUUAAAAAGCCUUAUUUACCCAAGGUUGACCUCGGAUCAGGUAGGAAGACCCGCUGAACUUAAGCAUAUCAAUAAGCGGAGGA
rnacentral:misc_RNA from 1 species